GUUGCAGGAAAGCAGAAGCCAUAGUAUAAAACACCAAUAGAGAAAUUAGCAGCAAACCAUGGAGUAUUGCUUGAACCAUAAGAUAUUGAACAGCUGGAGCAGAUUAUAGGAAUAUCCAAGUAUACCCCUUUAUACAGUAGUUGAUACAUGCGAUACAUAGGGAAGCUAGAAACGAGGUAAGUCCCACCAUUACACUACUUGAGCACCAU
rnacentral:lncRNA from 1 species